GUCGUGAUGAUGCUUUAAGCAGGAGGCGAAGAAAAUCUUCUUACUUUGGACUCUGAAGUCACAGAGGCAACUGAACCAAGUUCCAAGACACCACAACCGAAAGGCUUACCCAAACCAAGCCAAGGACAUCUAUCCACUAAACAAGUUGAGCCCAGUUCAGCGUGGAGUCAGGAGUAUAAGGGACUCUGAUAAGACGGCGUCUUUUUCCUUCAGCGUGGACGUCGAGAAUGAGCGUCACUCAUCGCAAAGCAUUGGUUCAAGGUGCUCUUCGUCCCAGAAGACGCUUCUCUCUCCGUGGUGCACUUAUCCAAAAUUUUCAUCUUAAGAUUUUUAAAUUGUGGAUGAAACAAAUACGACAAAUCCGGUUGUAUCGUGUCCAUCGUGUCCAUCAUUGAGAAGUAUUAUUGUUGCAGCAGUAAAAGUUUUCUCGUAAACAGUCGUGGCAGACCGUAUAGAAAUCGAUUCUUGCCCCCGUAUCUCAGAAAUUCUGAACGGAUCGUCCGUCUCCCCGGCCGUCCACAAAACCGAUACACCCAAACGGCCCCCUUCGUCUGCGUUCAUCCUAACGUCGGGCACAAGAAUGUGAACCGAGUAAUGUCGCGGUACGUGGAACACCAGAAGAGAGCCUGCGUUCAGGACGAAGACGGGAAUUUCUGGUUCCGAGGGUCACUGACGGCUGAGAAGGAGAGGAAUUCGUCCACCACAGAUUCCGGCCUUAGCGAAACCAGCACCGACGAAGGAUCUCAAUUCCUUGUGCGGAAAUCCAGCAAGGAUCGAGAUGGUGCUGUGAGUCCAGAUUUGGGCGUCUAUUUGAAUAGAGACGAAAUAAUUGACUUUGAAGACGAACUGUAUGACAAGUUGUCCACGUUUAAAAUUGCGGAUAGGAAAUUUUGUCGAAAACUUCCGCAGAUUCGUAAAUGUGAAUUUAAAAAUUGGAAUGUUGAUUCAGUUUUCGGAAUGUUAUUUUAGUCAGUAAUUUUUACACAUGUGGCGAAUUAAAAUUGUAUCGUGUACCGACUUUAAUGAAUUUAAGUUGCUUAUUGUUUUACGAUUCAAUAUAGUGUAAAAUCUGUAUAUAUUUUUCGAUCAAUUAUUUUACCAAA